rnacentral:rRNA from 1 species
UACGUAGGGUGCGAGCGUUAAUCGGAAUUACUGGGCGUAAAGCGCGUGUAGGCUGCCCUGCAAGUCGGAUGUGAAAGCCCUGGGCUCAACCUAGGAAGUGCACUCGAAACUGCAGGGCUGGAGUCCUGGAGAGGAAGGCGGAAUUCUCGGUGUAGAGGUGAAAUUCGUAGAUAUCGAGAGGAACACCGGUGGCGAAGGCGGCCUUCUGGACAGUGACUGACGCUGAGACGCGAAAGCGUGGGGAGCAAACAGG